AAUCUUAGUACGCAAAGCAGCUGUUUAAGGAGUAGAGCACAGUACUGGGAUUUCUAAAACUAGGAAAUCAAUAAAGCCGACAACAACAACAUGAUGCUAGAAAAAACAAGAUGAGGAAUCUUACAAAUAAGAAAGAAUUGCUUUAUGUGAGGUGAACUUGCACUGUCUGGAAAGAUGUCUUCCUAUGGACAGAUGCUUAGCUCCCGCUGUGCUCCGCCAUGUGAAGUGAGAUGCUCGCAACCACCUAUUGACUGUUGGAAUGAACCUUGUAUCACAUCAUGCGGAGAUUCAAGAGCAAUUGUGUACGCGCCACCUGUUGUUGUGACUUUCCCGGGACCCAUUAUCAGCUCGUGCCCUCAGGAAAGUUUUGUGGGAACUGCCAUACCUGAAAUUGAGGGUCAGAUGGGCUCUGGAGGUGGAGGAAUGGGGUCUGGCAGUUCCUGUGGUGGAGGCAGCUCCUAUGGGAUGGGCUCCCAUGGUUCAGGUGGUUCUUAUGGUGGCAUGGGAGGGGGCUCAUAUGGUGGAGAGGGCUCGUGUGGUGGUGGAAUCUCCCGUUUGGGAAGCUUUUACCGAAACUCAUAUUUUUCAGGAUUUGGUAGAAAUUAUCUCCCCUUUUUUUCCAGAGCUUAUUAUAGGUAUCGCUAUGGAAGCUAUGGGCCAUUUUAAAUCUUCAAGAAAGAGUAAUGACUGAAGGAACAAUAAAAUACAAACUAGUAGUUGACAUAUAGACCUGGAAAUCAGACAUGCCAAGCAGCCUCUGCUCCAGCUGAUGUCAGUAGGAGCUGGGGUUGCUUGGGAUCUCAUUGCGCUUUUUCUAAGGCUUAUGAUCCCAAUGUUGCCUCACUUUGUCAUUUGCUCAUGUUAUGUUUUGUUUUUUUCUGAACCUAAAGAGAGUAAAACAAGUAAUGGGACUUGACUGUGAAAGUGUCCAGCUGAAGAAGAAUGUCUUGUGAGUCCUGUGCUCCUCUGAAUGACUGAUUGAUUGUAGUCCUUGUUGAAAUGGAAAUUACAUUCUUUGUCUCUGCAUUGCCUCAUUCUGCAAGAAUGUAUUCCACUUUUUGUUUGUAUUAAAGCCCUGUUGCAUCAUA